rnacentral:rRNA from 4 species
AACCUGCGGAAGGAUCAUUC